CAUAGAUCAAUAUAUGUUUAUUGUGUAAUAUGAUAUAGUAGAUGGUGAUUACAUGAGUGAAUAGAAAGAAAUUCUAAAAAAUUGAAGUUGGAAGUCUUUGAAUAAGGUGAUAGCGUCCCUUGAAUGAUACAUAUAAUGAUUUGAUUGGAAGUGUAAUAAAAAGUGGGGACUUAACCCAACGACUUGUGCAUUAGCAACACCACAACUGCUAGUCGAUGAAGAUGAAGAUUGUGAUGAUGGUAAUGAACAACGUAUUGGAUCAUUGAUAAUAUAAUUGAAGGGUUUUAAGAAACUAAUUCAAGAAUCUCAAGAAAGGAUUUCUUGAUCGUUCUUCUUCAAGUUAGGAUUCUUCGUCAAGAUUUAUGGAGCAUUUAAGGUAUGUGAAGCUAAUCCUUCAGUGUGGGAACCCCGUUCUCCCCACAAGCAAGCCAUUAUGUUUGUUUAAGGUCAUGAAUCAUGUUAGGAUUUUAUGAGUUGAAAUUUUUGAGAUUAAUUCUUGAUCUCUUGAUGAUAUUCUUCGAACGUCCUAUGAUUUUUAGUAAGAAUUUCAUGAGUCUGGUGUCUUUUUCUUGAAUUGAUUUCUAAUACAUGUCAAUGAUUUUUCAAGCAAAGUUUACUAGUUUUCUUAAAGUUAUUGAGAAAUCUAUUUCAUGAUUCACUAGAAUAUUCAUGAUUGUUAUAAGUUUCAAGAUUUUCAAGAAAGUAUUAUUAUCUUUGAUUUCAAGUGCAUUAUUUCAUGAAAGAAUUCAAGAUAUUAUGUUUUGCCUCAAGUACAUAUUUUCAGAAAGAAAGCAUAAUUAGAUUUUCAAAAAGUUGACCUUUUGGUCUCGGAUUAGAUAAGAACAUACAAAAAAAAGGCUAAUUUCAUUAUAUUCAGGGCUAAGAGCCACAUAUAUCAAUAGUUUUAUAACUAAUCUAUUAAGUAUAUGAUUCAUGAUUAGUAUGACAAUCGGAUAUGUCAUCAAUGCUUAAGCAAUGUGACAUCUAGAUAUGCCAUCAAUGUUUAUGCAUUAUGACUUUUCAAUUUGUCAUCAAUGAUCAUAUCUCAGCAUGUUUCAGAUAGUUAUGAGCUUAGUCUCACAUACAGUACAAAUUUACAGAUUUGAGCAAAGACUCAUAGUAUAUUUUCAGUUAUAAUUUUCAUGAUAUAUAUUAUGAGCAUAUAUAGACUAUUUUGGGAGGAUUCUUUAGCAUCGAGAGGACGCGGGCUUAGAUAACUCAAGUCCCAGAACUAUGUUGCCACUGUGGAAUAAGGGUUUUUCACCAGUUGAUGUUGACACCUUUAGCCCUUUGAGGCUCAGUUAAUGAAUCCACAUUAGAUAAAUAGGUUCUAUACCCUGAUAAAGAUAUAGGGCAAUCCUCCCAACUAGGUUAGCUGUUGGACUCCAUGUUGCUCACAUGGUUUAUGUCGGUUGUAAGAAAAUUCCCAAGAAAAUUAAAACUAUAUUAUUUUUAGUA